rnacentral:rRNA from 1 species
GGGAAACGCCCGGUCCCAUUCCGAACCCGGAAGCUAAGCCCUUCAGCGCCGAUGGUACUGCACUCGACAGGGUGUGGGAGAGUAGGACACCGCCGAAC